AUAUAUAUAUAUAUAUAUAUAGACAUUCAGAUGACGGAUGCUUUUGUUAACGUCGAAAAUAUUCGAUUGUGAAAUCGUAGAGUAAAUUUCCUGGGGUCAUUAGAGGAUUGUGAAUCAUUUUUCCUUUUCGCCUCCUGGUAUAAUAGCUUUAGCCGACAUCUCUGGAGUCAUUUUCUGAGAAAAGAAUCUUAUCUGAAUAUGCAGUGAAUGGUGAAAUAUAUUACUUUGUCUUUCUCCUGAGCGCUGCGGUUAUGGUCACUAUACUCGAAAAGCUUAAAGAUCAACGUCCCUGGCACGUAAUUACAUGGACUCACGAUCGAUUCCUUGGGAAAGUCAUCAUCAUCAUCAUCCGGUUUUGUCAUUAUACGAGAGACGCGGAGAAGAUGUUUUUAGCGCAAAAUGCGUUUUCUUUUUUUUCGUCGUAUCUUCGAAGACUGAAAGACGUACCUAUAUAGUAUAGUUAAUUAAGUGCUAACAAGGAGUGACCAAAUGGCUUCGAGGACCGAGGAGGAGCUAGUGUGAAAUCGUCGAAAACUCAUACGGGACAGGUAUGAAGUCACAAGCGGCAUCGAGUGCCGUUCAAGGAGGAAAUCUUGUUCUCUUCGUAACGGGACACACUAUGAACCCAAAGGAAAAGACGCAAAAAGAAGGAGAGAGAGAGAGAGAGAGAGAUAUGAUUCUCGACGGAGAAGAAAAAAAAAAGCUUGGAGCAAGAGAGAGCGCGGACGACGGGAGCCAAGCGAAAAGAGGCAAAUUAAAAUUCAUGAACGUUUCGAGCGCUGUUGAAUUAAAAUUCAUGGUGAAAUUAUCGCUAGCUCCUUGAAAACAAAAGAGAACAGACUUAUAGAAAAACAAAAAUAUGGAGGAAAUUUUGGAUUGUACACCAAAUUCUAUAUAUAUAUAAUGAGAGAGAGUGGGACGAAGGAAUCUUGAAAUAAACGCAAAUUGGAAAAUAUCGACUUAUUGGAGUGAAAUUUUCAAACUAUAUUAAAUUCUAAAAAUAGUCAAUACUAGAGGAAAGGAUUUUUUCAUCAUAUGCGGACUUUUUGAAGAAGGAAGGAAUUUUUUUUUUUUGAAGAAAGAAUUUUAUCCUGUUUGGCAUGAUUUUUAAUAAACACACACACACACACAGGGAAAUAUUCAAACAUAUAUGCAACCAGAUGUACUGUAGACCUGUAUAUAUACUUGACUCGUUGUUCAUGAAGUACUUUACGGGGGCUUAUCGGGAGCACUUCGUACAUAAAACUGACGGAUGGACAGGUCCUCACACAGAGAGAAUCGAACACCAUAUAUUACAACUGAGCGCGGAGAAACGAAACGAACUCAAAUGCGAGAACAAAGCUAUAUACGCCAUUGUUUUGUACCGUCAAUAAUCCACUUGCCCUGACUUCGAGGACCGACUGCAUCAUCGGAGCGGGUGGUUGACUCAAUUGCGCCAAAGAGCAAAAAGAAGAAAAAAGGCUGUUUUCUACCCAAAAAAAAAAAAAAAAAAAAUAUCUCACUCACACGGAGCGAUUGGAGACGGAGAAAGGAAUUUUUUUUCAACUGUUUGCGAAUUUGAGAUUGUUGUCAUUGACUCAAGUGGAAACAAAUAGGACAUUUAGUGGGUUCAGGGAUGUAACCUCAUAUAAUACGAAAUGGCAAACGAAUCCCGCUAAGGGGUUAUAGGGGGAGAAAAAAAAAGAGAGAGACAAGAAGUGAGGAAAGCAGAGGCUGGCUGACAUCUCAUUUUGGUUUAGCGGGAUAAAAGAGCGUGUCAUUCGAUGAAGCUGACGAGAAAGAAGGACAAAGAAUAUAUAUAGCAGGAGAGAGAGAAAGAGAGGGAAAUAUAUUCUCCAUCAGUCAACCGCAAUCCUGUAAAUGCGCUUCUACUGCGGAUUCACUUUUUACUGCGAUGUUUAACUUGCGAACAAAAUUCAAUGAUGAAACUUAUUAUUUUGCUACAUGGUACUCAAGACAAUAAAGAACGUUUGGCGCACCCCUUUCUCGAUGGUGUAUUUUUUCUCCCUUAUGCCGGGAAUUCCCUUUGCGCGCACGAGAAAACAAAAGUCGCAUCUUUGGUAUUCGAAAAGGAAAACAAUGUUAAGUGGCAGGUUCGAAACACAACACUAUUGGAUGUGAUGUUUUGCAUUUUCGACGGCAUUAGCACUGGUAUUAUUAAAUUCGAUUACAAAGGAAAAAUAUCAUAUCACACAUAGAGGAAAUGUAGUUACAUCACUUUUGGGAAAAAUAUAGUGUCUCAACUUUAAUAAAUUUAGAGAAAUUUCCGGUCCGAGAUUUCCGUGCAAGACAGACAGAUAGACACGUUUUUCAAGUAUAUAUAUAUAGAUGAAAGAGGUAUAUGUAUAAAUCAUCCGAAAUUUCCUGAGCGUGAAGUCGUUAGGCAUUUUCUGACGCGGAGAUAAAAUUCCGAGAAGCUCAUUGAAACGACUCUUGGCUAUAUAUAUAUAUAUAUAUAUAUAUAUAUAUAUAUAUGUACGGGACCGGGUAUUGUUUUAACGUGUUUGAGUCAAAUAUUGACGUAAGUCGGAGCUCUCUCGCCCGGCCUGGAACGGAACGGAACGAGAUGAGAUGAGACGAAACGACCCACAUAACAUCCAUGGCUCAUCGUUGGUACAAGGUAUAUAACGAAGGAGGAGGAUGGCUGUGAAAGGUGAUCAGAGGCAGAGAGAGAGAGAGAAUGAUAAUGAAAAGUAUAUUUGAAAAAAAGGGGAAAAAAAAAGAAAGUUGAGAAAAAAAAGGACAUGACUAUUAUCAGAGGAACUCUUGGCUUCAAUUCAAUGUUGUAAUUGAUACAUUGUCCCAUCAGAUGUGAUAAGCUGAUGGUGAAAUCAAAUUCAAAAUUCAUUUGAGAUUAUAAUUUUGGAGAAUUAUUGUCAAUUCGCGAGAUGACGCUGGUUCUGCUGAGAAAUUGGUAUAAGGCGCGCGGGAGAGUGACGGAUAGAAGCUCGUCAUGACACUUUGCUGUUUAGGAAGAAGAAUGCCUGGAAUGGUAUAAGGAGAAGAUGGAAAAAAUAUUGAGGGAAAGGGGAUGAACCACGACAGUAGCAGAGGCGAGGAACUAGUAACGAGUAUUUGCUGGCCAGCUCGAUGCAUAGUUAAUGAUUUGUCAACUGAACCUCCCCAUAGAGCAGAGAGAGAGAGAGAGAGAGGAGAGAGCAUAUCGAACUUGACUAGGCCAAUACAUCGGGUGACCAGAAACACCCGUCACGUCGUGUGGGCACAGAUAACGCAUAAUUGUCCAAAUGAGUGAAUAAUUAACUGGCGGAAGUUUAAUUUACAAAGAAUCAUAUACCGCACGUAAAUGUAAACACAGAUCUUUAUGGCAAAUUCUCGCCCAUCGAUAAACUGCGUGUUCCAGAUAUGAUUUACACCAGUUGUUAAUUUCAUAAUUCAUAAGGAUAACAGCGCAAAUACAAAGUACCAUCUUUUAUAUAUCAAUUAAGCAGAGGCAAUUGGUGGAAAAAAAAAUUCACUUUGUACAAAAUUGAAUUAGCCGCACGGCUUUACUUUUUUUCCUCAUGUGAUAAUUUUUUUUUUGUUCUCUCUUCAUUUAAUGAACAAGGGACUUUGACUAUAUGCGAUAUUAUAUAUAUAUCUAUGAACGAGAUAGGUAGAUUAUCGUCAUAGUGGUAUACUACUGCGCUGGUUAUGAUCCAAACGAUGGUCAGAGUCAGUCAAUAGAAUUUAAUGGAUAUAUUCUUUUUAUAAAAUACCUAUACAAAUGUAUAAAAUUUGGAUUAUCCGAAAUUAUCGCAUCGAUGGAAUUGAGAAAAAAAAUAAACUGAAACAUCGCAGGAUUAACUGAAGUACUUCUUGACUAAUCAAAACAUAAUAUAUAUAUGGUGGAAAAAAAUUUCUUCAUUUUUGUGCAGCAUCCCUUUCAUCGUUCAAGUUUUAUUUCUGAAUCAAUAGGAUUUCGUAUAUAUGGUGAAAGAAUCGUGAUUUGACCAUUUUUUUAAUAGAAAACAAUUGAGGCAUUGUUUCUUAAAAAAAAAAAGAAAAGAAAGAGAAAAAAAGAAAUUGAGAGAAAAAGUGAAAGAGAAUUUUUAAAGUCUCAGGAUAUAGAAACGUAUUUAUGCAACUUAUAGCAAGAGAGGAAUAUACAACUGUGUUCGUCGUUGAAGCUGAGAUGUGGGUAUAUAAUUGAAGGGCCGUUCGGUAGCCAGUUAUCCUGAUUAACACCAUGGACCACACACGACGGUUCCUCUUCUCUUCCAAAAUUCAUCAUAUAUGAAGAGAAGGAGGGAAAAGGGAGAUAAAAAAAAGGAUUUGAGAUUUCAGCUCGUUUUGAGGACAGUAAGGCAAUAUGGCCGAUUCAUCAUGGCACUUUCUGCGACUUCUAGAAGCAGGACGCAGGACGAGAGAAGGGUAUUCCUCGCCUGUUAUCCAAAGAUAAGGAACGGACCCUAUAUUCUCGUUUCGCUUUCCUCAUAUAUACCUUCCUUUACACUCGACCUUUUAUCAAUCCCCUCCCACUGUCUUUCCCCUUUUUUGUUCUCACAUUACUUUUUCCAAUAAUUUUUUUUUAAAAAUUAGAUAUAUUUUAAUUUUUAAAUUCUAAUUUAUUGUUUAUUAUUCCAGUAAUUAAAAAAAUUUGUAGU